UUUAAUUCGAAGCAACGCGAAGAACCUUACCAGGUCUUGACAUACCAUUGACCGUUCUAGAGAUAGGAUUUUCCCUUCGGGGACAAUGGAUACAGGUGGUGCAUGGUUGUCGUCAGCUCGUGUCGUGAGAUGUUGGGUUAAGUCCCGCAACGAGCGCAACCCCUGUCGUUAGUUGCCAGCAUUCAGUUGGGGACUCUAACGAGACUGCCAGUGACAAAUUGGAGGAAGGUGGGGAUGACGUCAAAUCAUCAUGCCCCUUAUGACCUGGGCUACACACGUGCUACAAUGGUUGGUACAAAGAGAGGCGAAGCGGUGACGUGGAGCAAACCUCAUAAAGCCAAUCUCAGUUCGGAUUGUAGGCUGCAACUCGCCUACAUGAAGUUGGAAUCGCUAGUAAUCGCGAAUCAGAAUGUCG
rnacentral:rRNA from 1 species